rnacentral:rRNA from 1 species
UACGUAGGGUGCGAGCGUUAAUCGGAAUUACUGGGCGUAAAGCGUGCGCAGGCGGUGAGCUGUGUCCGAUGUGAAAGCCCCGGGCUUAACCUGGGAAUGGCAUUGGAAACUGGCUCGCUGGAGUGUGGCAGAGGGGGGUGGAAUUCCGCGUGUAGCAGUGAAAUGCGUAGAGAUGCGGAGGAACACCGAUGGCGAAGGCAGCCCCCUGGGCUAACACUGACGCUGAGGCACGAAAGCGUGGGGAGCAAACAGG